CAGUGGGAGAAUCUAUUCAUACCAUCCCUUGUAAUUACUGUUUCUGUGCCGUAGGAGGAUAUAUUAACUGCCUGAACUAUGAUUGCAAUAUGCAGUACCCUUGGUGUGAUGACUACUAUUUUGAAAACCCAGACGACUGUUGUGUGAGAUGUCCAAUAGGCUACAACUGUACAGCCCCAGAUGGGGAGUUCGUGCAAUACAAAGAACUAUACUAUUUGAACAACGAAGAGGUGUGUCAUUGCCUGGGCAGGAAACCAAAUGAAACGGCUGUGUGUAAACCAGUCAAUCCUUCUACAAAACAUGCUCCAAUUAUUGGAUGACAACUAUAAUAUUUUUGAAUGAAAUUAAUUAUUAUAUUAAA